rnacentral:lncRNA from 1 species
CGCGAAGCUGGAACUCCGAGAAUCUACGAAUGUACCACCAAUGAAACCCCUAGGGGUUCAAGAUAAUCAGGACAAUGGACUCAGCUUCCUUUUUGCAAAUAAUUCUCUCAUUUUGAUGAUUGUAAUUCUCUUCUAAUGUUGGGUCGUCUGUGAUCCUCAGAUUCUCCGGCCAAAAUCGGGAUGCCCCGAGGCUCGACCGUAGAGAACCAGACUUCCUCGACCUCGGGAAGCGUCGCAGGUUGGUAGAGCGUGCCCAGACCCACCGACCUGACGAACGAUCCCUCGACUAAGGUCGGGAUGCCCCGAGGGUCGACCGUAGAGUCUCAAACUCCCUCGACCUCGGGACGAAGCCAUGAGGGGUGGAAAGGGUG